AUUGAACGCUGGCGGCAGGCCUAACACAUGCAAGUCGAGCGAGCGGCGGACGGGUGAGUAAUGUAUGGGAAUCUGCCCGAUGGAGGGGGAUAACUACUGGAAACGGUGGCUAAUACCGCAUACUAUCGGAUGUGCCCAUAUGGGAUUAGCUAGUAGGUGGGGUAAAGGCUCACCUAGGCGACGAUCUCUAGCUGGGCUGAGAGGAUGAUCCGCCACACUGGAACUGAGACACGGCCCAGACUCCUACGGGAGGCAGCAGUGGGGAAUAUUGCACAAUGGGCGCAAGCCUGAUACAGCCAUGCCGCGUGUGUGAAGAAGGCCUUAGGGUUGUAAAGCACUUUCAGCGAGGAGGCGUUACCCGCAGAAGAAGCACCGGCUAACUCCGUGCCAGCAGCCGCGGUAAUUC
rnacentral:rRNA from 1 species